GUAGCCCACCUGAAAGGGUGAUCGGCCACACUGGGACUGAAACACGGCCCAAACCCCUACCGGAGGCAGCAAUAGGGAAUCUUCCCCAAUGGACCAAAGUCUGACCGAACAACCCCCCGGGAGUGAAAAAAGUUUUCGGAUCCUAAAACUCUUUUGUCAGGGAAGAACAAGUACCGGAAUAACUGCCCGUACCUUGACCGUACCUGGCCAGAAAGCCACGGCUAACUACCUGCCAGCAGCCCCGGUAAUACCUAAGUUGCAAGCGUUGUCCGGAAUUAUUGGGCGUAAAGCGCGCGCAAGCCGCCUUUUAAGUCUGAUGUGAAAGCCCACGGCUCAACCGUGGAAGGUCAUUGGAAACUGGAAGGCUUGAGUGCAGAAGAAAAGAACGGAAUUCCACGUGUAGCGGUGAAAUGCGUAGAGAUGUGGAAGAACACCAGUGGCGAAAGCCGCUCUUUGGUCUGUAACUGACGCUUAAGCGCGAAAGCGUGGGGAACGAACAAGAUUAGAUACCCUG
rnacentral:rRNA from 1 species